GAUGAAGAACGUAGCGAAAUGCGAUAAGUAAUGUGAAUUGCAGAAUUCAGUGAAUCAUCGAAUCUUUGAACGCACAUUGCGCCCGCCAGUAUUCUGGCGGGCAUGCCUGUUCGAGCGUCAUUACAACCCUCAGGCCCCCGGGCCUGGCGUUGGGGAUCGGCGGAAGCCCCCUGCGGGCACAACGCCGUCCCCCAAAUACAGUGGCGGUCCCGCCGCAGCUUCCAUUGCGUAGUAGCUAACACCUCGCAACUGGAGAGCGGCGCGGCCUCGCCGUAAAACACCCAACUUCUGAAUGUUGACCUCGAAUCAGGUAGGAAUACCCGCUGAACUUAAGCAUAUCAAUAAGCGGAGGA
rnacentral:misc_RNA from 1 species